rnacentral:rRNA from 1 species
UACGUAGGGUGCGAGCGUUGUCCGGAAUUAUUGGGCGUAAAGGGCUCGUAGGCGGUUUGUCGCGUCGGGAGUGAAAACACCGGGCUUAACUCGGUGCUUGCUUUCGAUACGGGCAGACUAGAGGUAUGCAGGGGAGAACGGAAUUCCUGGUGUAGCGGUGAAAUGCGCAGAUAUCAGGAGGAACACCGGUGGCGAAGGCGGUUCUCUGGGCAUUACCUGACGCUGAGGAGCGCAAGUGUGGGGAGCGAACAGG